rnacentral:rRNA from 1 species
UACGUAGGGCGCAAGCGUUGUCCGGAAUUAUUGGGCGUAAAGAGCUCGUAGGCGGCUUGUCGCGUCGGUUGUGAAAGCCCGGGGCUUAACCCCGGGUCUGCAGUCGAUACGGGCAGGCUAGAGUUCGGUAGGGGAGAUCGGAAUUCCUGGUGUAGCGGUGAAAUGCGCAGAUAUCAGGAGGAACACCGGUGGCGAAGGCGGGUCUCUGGGCCGAAAUUGACGCUGAGGAGCGAAAGCGUGGGGAGCAAACAGG